UCGNUACCUGCAAAGUAAACCUGCGAACAUGUUACCAAUACUCUUGGGUUCGCGCCGUUCUAUGCCUUGGCAUUGUCAGUCGCGUUCCCUUCCGGACGACGCAUGCUUGCGUGAGUCGUUUGGGUUAACAAACAUCUCGGCGCGGAAUGCGCCAGGGAAAACUAUCACGAGAAUGCUUGCUCUCGCGAGGCACCGUUCGCGGUGUAUCGUGGGUUGCACGUGGCUCUUGAAUCACUAAACGACUCUCGGCAACGGAUAUCUCGGCUCUCGCAUCGAUGAAGAACGUGGCGAAAUGCGAUACUUGGUGUGAAUUGCAGAAUCCCGUGAACCAUCGAGUCUUUGAACGCGAGUUGCGCCCGAAGCCAUUAGGNCGAGGGCACGUCUGCCUGGGCGUCACGCAUCGCGUCGCCCCCUCCCACUCCUUUUCUUUGCAGAAGUGGGUGGAUUACAGGGGGACGUACAUUGGCCUCCCGUGCUCUUGUUGUGCGGCCGGCCUAAAUUUGAUUCUACGUCGACGGAUGUCACGACUAGUGGUGGUUGAAUAAAUCGCGUGCUGUCGUGCAAGACCUCGUUCGAUAGUGGACAUCAUUACUCACCCAACAAUGCC
rnacentral:rRNA from 1 species